rnacentral:rRNA from 1 species
AAUGAACGCUGGCGGCGUGCUUAACACAUGCAAGUCGCACGAGAACGCUUUAGCUUGCUAGAGCUAGUAAAGUGGCGCACGGGUGAGUAACGCGUGGGUAAUCUACCCCUGAAUUUGGGAUAACGUUGCGAAAGCGACGCUAAUACCGGAUGACAUCAAAGUAUCUUCGGUUAUUUUGAUCAAAGAUGGCCUCUACAUGUAAGCUAUUGUUUGGGGAUGAGCCCGCGUACCAUUAGCUAGUUGGUAGGGUAACGGCCUACCAAGGCAACGAUGGUUAGCUGGUCUGAGAGGAUGAUCAGCCACACUGGAACUGACACACGGUCCAG